GGUUGUAUAGUGUAGCGGUUAUCACUCCGGAUUCUGAGUCUCCAAAUCAUCAGAAAGUAUAUUCCGGCAACCCCGGUUCGAUUCCGGGUACGACCU
rnacentral:tRNA from 2 species